UAUAUAAGUGUACAAAUAGUUAUAUAAUAUAAUGUGUACAAAUAGUUGUAUAAUAUAAUGUGUACAAAUAGUUAUAUAAUAUAAAUAAUAAAAAAUUAUUUUCGUGCACAUUUUUUGCAAGGUCUGUCUGUCUGUCUGUUUGAGCGGAUAUUUCAACAUGCUUUUCUUCAACUUUCUAAGCUAGGAUCAAACAGAAAUUUCGCACAAUUAUUGACUUAUAGUUGAUUACAAUACAUGAAGCAAUAAAACAAAAUUACAAAAAACUUUUUAAAUUAGUGGGUCAUUAAAUAGUUUUUCUUUCUUUAGAAAUAUGGUAGUAAAUCUUGCAGUAUUGAGAUGUAUGGCAGUAAAUAUGUAGUUCUUCCCAUUAUAGAAUCUCUUAUU